AGCAGCCGCGGUAAUUCCAGCUCCAAUAGCGUAUAUUAAAGUUGUUGCAGUUAAAAAGCUCGUAGUUGAAUUUCGGGGUUAGUAGGUUGGUCAUGCCUCUGGUAUGUACUGGUCUCACUGAUUCCUCCUUCCUUAUGAACCGUAAUGCCAUUAAUUUGGUGUUGCGGGGAAUUUGGACUGUUACUUUGAAAAAAUUAGAGUGUUUAAAGCAAGCUAACGCUUGAAUACAUUAGCAUGGAAUAAUGAAAUAGGACGUUCGAUCUUAUUUUGUUGGUUUCUAGGAUUGACGUAAUGAUUAAUAGGGAUAGUUGGGGGCAUUAGUAUUCAAUUGUCAGAGGUGAAAUUCUUGGAUUUAUUGAAGACUAACUACUGCGAAAGCAUUUUGCCAAGGAUGUUUUCAUUAAUCAAGAACGAAAGUUAGGGGAUCGAAGACGAUCAGAUACCGUCGUAGUCUUAACCAUAAACUAUGCCGACUAGGGAUCGGAUGAUGUUAAUUUUUAAUGACUCAUUCGGCGCCUUA
rnacentral:rRNA from 1 species